rnacentral:rRNA from 2 species
GGUAACAGGUCUUCGGAUGCUGACGAGUGGCGGACGGGUGAGUAACGCGUAGGAAUCUGCCCAUCUGUGGGGGAUACCAGUUGGAAACGACUGUUAAUACCGCAUAAUAUCUGCGGAUUAAAGGUGGCCUUUGCGCUGCCGCAGAUGGAUGAGCCUGCGUUGGAUUAGCUAGUUGGUGGGGUAAGGGCCUACCAAGGCUACGAUCCAUAGCUGAUUUGAGAGGAUGAUCAGCCACAUUGGGACUGAGACACGGCCCAAACUCCUACGGGAGGCAGCAGUGGGGAAUAUUGGACAAUGGGGGAAACCCUGAUCCAGCAAUGCCAUGUGUGUGAAGAAGGCUCUAGGGUUGUAAAGCACUUUAGUUGGGGAGGAAAGCCUGUGAGUUAAUAGCUUGCAGGAAGGACGUUGCCCAAAGAAUAAGGACCGGCUAACUCCGUGCCAGCAGCCGCGGUAAUACGGGGGGUCCGAGCGUUAAUCGGAAUUACUGGGCGUAAAGGGUCUGUAGGUGGUUUGUUAAGUCAGAUGUGAAAGCCCAGGGCUCAACCUUGGAACUGCAUUUGAUACUGACAAACUAGAGUAUGGUAGAGGAAUAGGGAACUUCUGGUGUAGCGGUGAAAUGCGUAGAGAUCAGAAGGAACACCAAUGGCGAAGGCAACAUUCUGGACCAAUACUGACACUGAGGGACGAAAGCGUGGGGAUCAAACAGGAUUAGAUACCCUGGUAGUCCACGCUGUAAACGAUGAGUACUAGCUGUUGGAUUCGGUGUAAAGGAUCUAGUGGCGCAGCUAACGCGUUAAGUACUCCGCCUGGGGACUACGGCCGCAAGGCUAAAACUCAAAGGAAUUGACGGGGACCCGCACAAGCGGUGGAGCAUGUGGUUUAAUUCGAUGCAACGCGAAGAACCUUACCUGGUCUUGACAUCCUGCGAACUUUCUAGAGAUAGAUUGGUGCCUUCGGGAACGCAGUGACAGGUGCUGCACGGCUGUCGUCAGCUCGUGUUGUGAAAUGUUGGGUUAAGUCCCGCAACGAGCGCAACCCCUAUUGAUAGUUACCAUCAUUAAGUUGGGUACUCUAUUGAGACUGCCGCUGACAAGGCGGAGGAAGGUGGGGACGACGUCAAGUCAUCAUGGCCCUUACGACCAGGGCUACACACGUGCUACAAUGGGUAUUACAGAGGGCUGCGAAGGUGCGAGCUGGAGCGAAACUCAGAAAGGUACUCUUAGUCCGGAUUGCAGUCUGCAACUCGACUGCAUGAAGUCGGAAUCGCUAGUAAUCGCAGGUCAGAAUACUGCGGUGAAUACGUUCCCGGGUCUUGUACACACCGCCCGUCACACCAUGGGAGUGGGUUGCUCCAGAAGUAGAUAGCUUAACGAAUGGGCGUUUACCACGGAGUGAUUCAUAACUGGGGUGAAGUCGUAACAAGGUAGCCGUAGGGGAACCUGCGGCUGGAUCACCUCCU